rnacentral:lncRNA from 1 species
CUCCAUCUAUCAAAACUCCUGCUAGCAUGUACCCGGAAGACAACACUGCGAUGUGCAGUGGUUUGCAAUGAUCGAUCCCUUCGGGAGGUAUGUCGUCAUCAGUGAAGGAUAUCACAUUGUUGUUGAAAAUGUGAUCAACCAAAUGUUGAAAUUUUUCCACAUUUACUGAUUUUGGCAGGUAGGCUUCUUUUAAAACCUUCAACAAGAUCUUCUGAUGAUCCUCG